CAGCAGCCGCGGUAAUACGUAGGGGGCGAGCGUUCCCCGGAUUCACUGGGCGUAAAGGGGGUGUAGGCGGCUCGGUAAGUCGGGUGUGAAAUCCCACGGCUCAACCGUGGAAUUGCGCCCGAAACUGCCGAGCUUGGGGCCGGUAGAGGGAGACGGAACUGCCGGUGUAGGGGUGAAAUCCGUAGAUAUCGGCAGGAACGCCGGUGGGGAAGCCGGUCUCCUGGGCCGCGCCCGACGCUGAGGCCCGAAAGCUAGGGGAGCAAACCGGAUUAGAUACCCGGGUAGUCCUAGCCGUAAACGAUGCCCACUAGGUGUGGGGGAGUAUUUCCUCCGUGCUGUAGCUAACGCGUUAAGUGGGCCGCCUGGGAGUACGCCCGCAAGGGUGAAACUUAAAGGAAUUGGCGGG
rnacentral:rRNA from 1 species